GAAAGCGAAGCGUUGCGGGGAAACGAAAGCCGGAGGCCCAGGCGGGGCAGGAGCCCUGGGGCUGGGGCGCCCUUCCGGCCUCUCCUCCUCGCCGCGAGAUGUGCGCGAUAAACGGCCGGCGCUCGGGAGCAGACGCUUGGCCCCGGGGCCCCAGGUGCGCGGCUCCGCGGGCCUGCGCGGUCCCCAGGCGCCGGCUCCCGGGGCUGACACCGAAUGAGGCCCCGCGCCGUCGGCCCCAAGAAUAUGACAGUAUCAGAAUAACAGGAGCUAACCCUAACUGAACACUUAAAGUUUGCCAGGCACUAUUCUGAAUUCUUCACAAAAAUUAGCAGUUUUACUCUGCACAAAAAUCGCCUGAGAUACGUUGCUUUGCUGAUGAAGAAAUGGAAAUCCAGAGAAAUAAAGUCGCUUACUCAGUCACCCAGCUACAUGAUUUGUGGCUCUGGAAGUUCAGCUACUAGGACUCUUCCAACUUCCUACAGGUGUCACGAAAGCACAAGACCACACACUUACACACAGUUCUGAUGAAAGAGGGCUAAAAGGAAGAUUUCAGUAAAAAGGUCAACAAGGCUUUCUAAAAAAACUGUAAAGGUAAAUAAAUGAUGUGUCGCAGUAAUUCUCACCAAUUAGGAAGCAUCUUAGAAAAGCAUUGGAUUUCCUCUAGUUAAAAACAUCUAUAAAAAGUGAUAUCAAAAUAUAGGAAGAUGUAAAUAUCUAAAUUUUAACACUGUCACCUUGCAUAAAUUAGGCUGAAUAGCUGAUGGAAUAA
rnacentral:lncRNA from 10 species